rnacentral:rRNA from 1 species
GAAGAGCUUGCUCUUCGGCGGUUAGCGGCGGACGGGUGAGUAACACGUACGCAACCUGCCUGUACGACUGGGAUAACUCCGGGAAACCGGAGCUAAUACCGGAUACGUUUUUCAGACCGCAUGGUCUGAAAGAGAAAGACCUUUGGUCACGUACAGAUGGGCCUGCGGCGCAUUAGCUAGUUGGUGGGGUAACGGCCUACCAAGGCGACGAUGCGUAACCGACCUGAGAGGGUGAUCGGCCACACUGGGACUGAGACACGGCCCAGACUCCUACGGGAGGCAACAGUAGGGAAUCUUCCGCAAUGGACGAAAGUCUGACGGAGCAACGCCGCGUGAACGAUGAAGGUUUUCGGAUCGUAAAGUUCUGUUGUUAGGGAAGAACCGCCGGGAUGACCUCCCGGUCUGACGGUACCUAACGAGAAAGCCCCGGCUAACUACGUGCCAGCAGCCGCGGUAAUACGUAGGGGGCAAGCGUUGUCCGGAAUUAUUGGGCGUAAAGCGCGCGCAGGCGGCUUCUUAAGUCAGGUGUGAAAGCCCACGGCUCAACCGUGGAGGGCCACUUGAAACUGGGAGGCUUGAGUGCAGGAGAGGAGAGCGGAAUUCCACGUGUAGCGGUGAAAUGCGUAGAGAUGUGGAGGAACACCCGUGGCGAAGGCGGCUCUCUGGCCUGUAACUGACGCUGAGGCGCGAAAGCGUGGGGAGCGAACAGGAUUAGAUACCCUGGUAGUCCACGCCGUAAACGUUGAGUGCUAGGUGUUGGGGACUCCAAUCCUCAGUGCCGCAGCUAACGCAAUAAGCACUCCGCCUGGGGAGUACGGCCGCAAGGCUGAAACUCAAAGGAAUUGACGGG